CGCCUGCCCUGUGACAAAUGUUUAACGGCCGCGGUAUUUUGACCGUGCAAAGGUAGCGCAAUCACUUGUCUUUUAAAUGAAGACCUGUAUGAAAGGCAUAACGAGGGCUUAACUGUCUCCUUUUUCUAGUCAAUGAAAUUGAUCUUCCCGUGCAGAAGCGGGAAUAUAACCAUAAGACGAGAAGACCCUAUGGAGCUUUAGACACAAAACAGUUCUUGUUAAACAAUUCAAAAUAAAGAAACAAACUAAAAGAACCCUGUUCCAUUGUCUUUGGUUGGGGCGACCACGGGGAGAUAAACAACCCCCACGCGGACUGGGAAAACAGUUCUCACAACUAAGAGCCACAGCUCUAAUCAACAGAAAUUCUGACCUCAAGAUCCGGCAGCGCCGAUCAACGGACCGAGUUACCCUAGGGAUAACAGCGCAAUCCCCUUUUAGAGUCCAUAUCGACAAGGGGGUUUACGACCUCGAUGUUGGAUCAGGACGUCCUAAUGGUGCAGCAGCUAUUAAGGGUUCGUUUGUUCAACGAUUAAAGUCCU
rnacentral:rRNA from 1 species